GAUGAAGAACGCAGCGAAAUGCGAUAAGUAAUGUGAAUUGCAGAAUUCAGUGAAUCAUCGAAUCUUUGAACGCACCUUGCACUCCUUGGUAUUCCGAGGAGUACGCCUGUUCGAGUGUUAUGAAGCUCUCAAAACGCAAUUGGCUUAAAACCUGAUUGUUGUUUUGGAUUUGAACUUUGCCGUGUUAUAACGGCUGGUUUUAAAAGUAUUAGCUGGUACUAGAACGAAUUGGUUCUACUCAACGUGAUAAUUAUCUGAUCGUUGAGGACAUUCAUUUCACGAGGAAUGGCCAUAGUAAAUUCAAUGGACUGCUUCUAAUCUGGCUUUAAUUCUUUAUUGGAUUAACCACUUUUCAAAUCUGACCUCGAAUCAGGUGGGACUACCCGCUGAACUUAAGCAUAUCAAUAAGCGGAGGA
rnacentral:misc_RNA from 1 species